rnacentral:lncRNA from 1 species
AAAAAAAAAAACUGCAUUCGAAAUCUAUGCAAAUGCGGUAAUGCGGUAGAUGUUGCCUUAGUGACUUGAAGCAUCUCUGAUGGAGAUAAAUCAGAUAUAAUAUUUUGAGCUACCAUGCAUGGGUGAAAUGGACAUGCACGAUAAUGGUGGGGGUGAGCUUUUUCUUACAAAUCUUAUAAUGAGCUGUGCUCUGUAAUGGAAAAAUAAAGAAAACUGUAUCCAACUUUAUCAACUCCUCUGAUGAUUGCUGUUGACAAAAUCACCAGUCUUUGGCACUGAAACCUACAAGCAAAGGUCCAGGGAGGUUGCGGCGGAGGUUAAAUUUAUUUGCGUGGAGUAGCAAUGGAUGUGCCAUUUUAUAGUGGGGACUCUUUGAUGUUAUCACAAUGGUCUUGAUGUAACUGAAAGUGCUAGUGUUGGUAGUUUACAGCAAUGCAAUGAGUCAAUGGGUGAGGGGGAUAUCUAGAUACAUUCAAUUAGAAAAAUAUUAGCCCCCUAACUUAUAACAUUUGGGCUUUUGAUUUAUUCACAGAGAUAGAAUAAAAGGCUUGGGCCAAUGAGCACAAUGGUGUAGGUUUGAGUAUUAGGGCAGCCACUUUGUGUUAAAAAGAUGCCAAAUGUUAGGUCUGUCCGCAGUCUGCCCCUCCCAGAAACCUGGGUUGCUAGCACAAUAACGGGUAAAGGCUUUAGAUAGAAUAGCCUAAUACAGUCCUUUAAUAUAUCUAAUAUCCGUACCUAUGAAUAGUGCAACUCAUAUUUUCAAUAUGAUGUAGAUUUCCCUUGCCAAUUUGAGUAAUUGAAUGAGCCUUGUUUGUCUGCAUUAUUGCAUAUAUAUGCCUGUCAUGCAUGUUCAGAUCAAGUUAUUUGCUAAUAGUCUUAGAACAAAUUGGCACAGUCCUGAUAGUCAUAUUUACAAGCAUUAGAAAUCUGGGGAGCUUUACUGAGUAUCUAAAACUAACUCCUUCCAGUUUUAACUUUUUCUAAUGCAAUCCAUUUGAGAAUUUGGUCUGAUUUUCUGAUUGUUUAUAUGUGCCUGUGCAGCUGAGUUUUUUCCUGAUAGAACAGAAGUGCAAUGUCUUCAUCGGUGGCAAAAGGUUCUCAAUCCUGAACUAAUAAAAGGUCCAUGGACUCCAGAGGUUUGAUGCUGGCCUACUACCGAGUUCAGUAACAGUUUUAACAAAUCAAUACUUCAAGAUGAAUAUUUUUUUUUCUUUCCCAUUGUUCCUCUGCCUUACAGGAAGAUGAACAAAUCAUUACUCUUGUACAGAAGUAUGGGCCAACAAAGUGGUCUGUUAUAGCUAAAUCUCUGCCUGGCCGCAUUGGGAAACAAUGUCGGGAGAGGUAUUUCCGAGUCUAAGUACUAGUUACUUAACAAAUCAUCUUUUGUACUAGUUCUGUAUUGCAUAUUUCUUUGAGAAAUUUCACAAUCCAUUUAUUGUUCACUGCUAGCUAGGUAUAUGAUGCAAGGUGCAGAAUAACCAUAACCAGGAUUUAGAAAAGAUGGUGUAAUGAAUCCCAAUAAAUGUUACAGUUCACCAUACAUUUCAAUCAUUGGGCAAAUAGUUGCAAAUUUCUGGCAGGUGCCAACUCUUUGACCCGUAAUUUAUUUUGCGAAGAAGAUUAUGAAUGGUAGAAUAGAAAGAAAGUGGCACAGCAGUCCUACGCAUCUCCUUAUGAAAAUUAUUAUGAUUCAUGAAGCAGGGCCUAAACGGGGAAAGUAAUUAAAUGAUGAUGUAUUGUUUAUAUCAAACUUUUUAUUUUUUUCCUUAACUCUUUGCAUAAAAUUGCAAGAUAUGUUGAUCCUGUGCUAUUUUUUGGCUGUGAUUUUGGAUGAAGAUCAAUGUUAACUAGGAUCCUUUUAUAUAGUAUUGCUAUCAUUUUUUGUUGGAUUUAUUAUUGUUGUCAAUUACAGAGAAGUGUAAAAAGUUUCUCAAAUAGGUAGCUUAAGGCCUAACAGAAUGGUUUAAGCUCAUAUAUCAAGUAUUUAUGGCUACUUAUUAUGGUGGUGAUUAGGAUAAUUCACAGUGCAGUCUUGAGGCAAAAGAUGCUUCAGGGGCUGUAUCCUUAUGGUUAAGUGCAAGGCCUUAUAGGAACACAACUAUGCUAGGCUUGCUAUAAAACCCUUAUAUUUGAUCUCAUGCAAGAUGACUAAUGCAUAAUUCACGAGUUCACUUAGAUAAACUUUGCAUCUGCUAAAGAGUAGGUUCCACCUUUUUCCCUUAUUUUGGUCAUUAUUAUCUAUUAUAAGAACUGUUAAGAGAGCACACUUUAAUGGCUUAUCACCUCCCAGUAACCAUUUCUAGAUAUUUUGUUUGCUUUACUUUGCAGGUAUCUUCUCUAUAUAUUCAAAACAAGGGAAAUAUUGACUUGUUAAUCGCCCAUUUUGUUUUGGAAAUAAAGUCUUUUAUCAUUAACUCCUUAAAAUUAUUAGUAUAAGAAACUAAGUUUCUUACAGUUGUAAAUUGCUCCACUUGACAUCAUAAGAUUCUAUGUUUUUAUCAUAUUAAGUUUGCUAACUCAUUCGGUCUCUAACAUUUUAUCAGGUGGCAUAAUCAUUUGAACCCUAUGAUAAAAAAGGAUGCUUGGACAGCAGAGGAGGAACUUGCUCUCAUGAAUGCUCACCGCAUACAUGGAAAUAAAUGGGCAGAAAUUGCAAAAGUUUUACCUGGAAGGUAUUGAUUCUCAUGGAAUAUUAUCCUUUUGAGAUUUUUUUCCUAUUUUCCCUCUAAAGUAACAGUGUCUUAGUUUCUACUUUAAUUUGCUUCUUUAACUAUUAGCAAUGACUGAACAUCUUUUGAAAACAUGCACCCUUUUAUUGUAGAAAUUAUAUAUUGGAUCAUAUGAUUAAGAAAAUUGAGAUGCAUAGAUGCACAUGCAUGCAUGAGCAUAUAUGUCUGUAAGUUCAUCUAAAACUGAGGAGAGUACAAGUUGGUAAACAAACAGAUCUUACUACUACUUUAUUAAGAUGACAGUUUUUCUGGAACAUCUUCAAAAGGUGGUGUUUCAUUUGUAAUAUCCCCAGCGUACUACUUGUGGCACCUCUCUUGUUUGAGUUUUCUCUCUUCUGCUCCUUGAAGGAUUCAAAACCAACAUUGACUACUCCUACUUCAUGAUUGGAGUGGCAUUGUUAGCAAAGUCAAAUGAAGUAAAAGGCUCAUCACUUUAGAUUGACCUCAAUCACUUUUUUAAUUGACAUUUUCUCUAGUGAUGUCUUCUAAAAUUUCAGUUCAUAAAAAGGCUUGGAUUUUAUGUGAACGAGAGGAUAAUAGAACAUAUUCCUUCCAACAGCAAGGUUUACCUUUAGAAUAAAGAAAGCUAUAGAAAGAUUCAACGAAGAAGAUGCCAUUGGACUUCCAUCCUGUGCAUGUGUAAUUUUCAGUCUUUAUCCUCUACUACUUUGGAGAUCAUGAAUAACAAAGGGUAAGCUUUACUAGUUUCCUUAAUUGUAGGUUCUCAAACACAUGGUUACAUACUCCUUGUGUUCCUGUUUACAUAUCAAACUCCUCGUAGAAGCAUCAAGGACUUGCACCAGCUGAAGUCCUAAAGGACAAGGAAUUACCAACACUCUCCAUAUGAUCACCCAUUAUGUUAAUUCUGAUGUUGUCACCUUCCCACCAAGAAACAUAACCCCCACAUUAUAGCAAGCCACUCCCUUUCCCGAUGAAUGUCUUUCUGCAUACUUGACAUGAUUUUAAUCACUUUGUCAUUCCAUUCAUGAAUUCCUAUAUCAUGUCUGUUCUAAUGAACUUUAUGAAAUUCUUAUAAUCAUGAACCUCAAAAAAUACUUACAAAGGGGACCGCAUAUCCAUUUCUUAGAUUACGUAGAGCCCUCCUUGUUUCUUAUUAAAGGCCAGUGGAGAAGUUAUUUUCAGCAAUUUCACAUCCUCUGUCUCUACAGAUUAUUAGGUUGCAAUCUUCUUGUUUAAUCACUUGUGAAAAGUAGAGCUCUAAAGGUUAGACAUAUCACAUACAGGAGGCCAUAACUGCUUCAGUAGGAUGAUUCUUCCCCUGUCCCAUUAACUUCUUAACAACCCUUUCUGUGACAUGAUUUAGUUCAUGCUUCAAAGUCUAUCCAACAUCAAAGGCUUCCAUGAUGCUCCAAAUGAAAGCUACUUUUGAAUUUCCAUGAUGAUAAACCUAGCCUCUCAUCCCUCUUCAUAGAAAUAACCACAAGACCCUCAAAUUGAUUUUAUGCUGAAUUCUCUCAGAGCAGAAUCUGUUUCUAAAGUUUUCUAACUUUUUUAUGAUUUUCUUCACAAAAAGAGGAACUAAUCAACAGGUCAAAGUAUAGAGAUCCAUUUCUUCUUAAGAAAAACAUUCUCACUUGGUUUGACUAUUUGAGGUUUAAAUAGUUCUAUCUUUUUUUUUUUUCACUGGAGUAUCAACUUUUUGCUUGUUCCUGUGGUUGGUGCUUCUUCUCCACCAGUUUGAUGCAGGAUUCCAUUGCUACUAUAGUUUGCUUUUGUAAUCAUUCUUUUGAAUUUUAUUAUUUCUGAGGGUGUUCUAUCCAUGUCAUACCGGCUUCUAAUUGCUUGCUUCCUUCUGCUUAUUAAAUUUGAAAUUUGUAUAAUUCUAUAGAAUGUGGUCACCAUUUUAUGGAUAGUUAACUGCUCAUCCUAGUUGAUGGUCUGAGGCUAUCUGAUCUAUGUUUAUUUUCUUCCUUCUUCCUUUUUGUAUCUAGGACUGAUAACUCGAUAAAGAAUCACUGGAAUAGUUCAUUAAAGAAAAAGUUAGACUUCUACUUGGCAACUGGAAAACUUCCGCCGGUUCCAAAUCCUGCUGUGCACGGUGGUUCAAAAGAUAUAGUAAACCAGGCUAGUGGACAAUUAUUUCUUUCUUCAAAUAAAAGGUCAGAUACAAGUACUGAAGCUUUAUCAGAAACUGCUGGUUCAACCCAUUCUUGCCUGCCUUCCGAAUCAAGUAAAUUGGAAGAGCAUAGGGAGUCGUUGGAGUCCAUAACCAUACAAAUUUCUCGUUCAGAAGCUUUUACAGGUGUACAAAUAAUAGGACUUAAUACUUCUGCUGCUGAAUGCCAGGCACCAACCCUGCAAGUGGAUAAUUUGUGCAAUGGAUCUGAUCCAGGAGUAAGGUUGGGGAGUUAUAGUAACACUGGUGAAAUUGAUAAAGAUGACAAGAUACCUGGGAUAGCUCUGCACUCUGAACUUUCUUCUACAUUCGGUUCUCUCUGUUAUAAGCCACCUCAGUUAGAAGAUCUUGGUCUUUCUGUAGCUUCUGCUCUUUUAAGCACAUAUGAUCCCGCUCAGCAGUCAUACAGCUCAGGGACAGUUACAUCCCCCAUUGGCUACUCCACUCCACCCUUUGUGAGUGGAAAGAAUUCAGGUCAGCAUAGUGCUGAAUCUAUAUUAAAGAGUGCAGCUAGGAGCUUUCCUAAUACUCCCUCUAUUUUACGAAGAAGAAAAAGAGAGGGAGGCACACCUCUUCCACCUGAUAUAACUGUACAAACAGAUCGGAUAAAAAUCCAGGACAGUUCUUGUACUCCUAUAGAAGGAAAAUCUAGAAGUGACCCAGAGCCCUUGAAGUCUUCCAAAAGUCCAUGUGGUGAUGGUGGAGUUGUGCCACAUAAUAUUAAGACUUUCAAUGUUUCUCCUCCAUAUCGGUUGAGGUCCAAAAGAACUGCAAUUAUCAAAUCUGUGGAGAAGCAGCUUGAUUUUACAUCGAGGGAAGACAAUAUUGAUGGUAAAGCGAAGUCUCUGGGUUUGGCUAUCAAUGGCAGUUCUCAUAGCGCUGAUUGCAAUGGCAACCUUCCAAUCAUGCAGGGGAGGAAGCUGAGUGAAUGUCCAGUUGGAUUGGAAAGUUUGGCCAAUGACUUGGCCCAUACAACUAAGUUGGGUGUGACCUAAGCACCAACUGUAAGUAUGAGCUUUUAUUCAAUUAAUAAAUGCAUGUCAGUUGGUAUAUUCUGUUGUCUAUGGAUAUCCUACAGUGUAGGAUACAGUUACUUUCCCAUGUAGUAUUUUUUGUUUUUCUUUUUUUCGAUCAAUCUCAUUGGUGAGCAAAUUAACCCUUUUUGUCUAAUUCUUAAUUAGCCUUUUCAUUUGCUUAAAUACUUUUGACAGCUUUGAAGACUUGGGACUUGUCAUGUAAUCAUUUCAUUAUUCCAUGUGUAUAGAUUAUGUUCUAAUUGCACUAAUUAUUUUAAUUUUCUUUUGGAUCCAUAUUCAAUGAGGCUAAAUAUUAAUACCUUAUUAAAUCAUUUCACCGAAGUUAUUGUUGAUGUACAAUCAUUGAAUAUUGUUGUGUAUAUUUAUAUAUACUCAUCACAGAUGCAUGCAUCUAUGCAAAAUGUGUUUGAGUACAGUUUUUAGGGGAAAAUCUUGUACAUCCAUUGCACAAGAAAGGUAAGAGCAAUGCUAUGGCAGCCCGAGCAUGGUAGCAAAAAAAAGUCACCUCAUAAUUGAAGGCCACCUGACACAUCCUGAAGCAUUUUCUUGGUACCCGGUUGGGGCCUGGAAGCAUUUUCCAAAAACUAAAUUUGUCCUCGUUUGACAAAAGCAUUUCAUAUUCUACUAAUUUUCUGAGCCCAAUAGUUGGGAUGAGGCUUUUAGUUGUCAUAAUAAUUAUAUACUAGGCCAAUUUUAACUCGAGAUAUCUAAAAAUCUUGAUAAAUUCAUAAUGGCCUAUUUUGAUAAAAAUCUUAUAGGAUUUGUGGGUUGGAUCAGUACAACCAGCAAAAUUAUAAGAUUAUAAGCUGGACUAGAUUUAUAUUCCUAAAUAUCCAACAGUAGCUUUGGAGUGGACCAGCUCGAUUCACAUAGGGAGAAAGCCACUGGAUUUUUUCAUUGAUAUGGCUUUUUAAAUAACAGUUUAGCAAAUGACUGGCAUAUAUAUUACUGGCUUUGAUUUUUUGCUUGGGUUUGGGAGCAUCCAUCCACAGUGAUUGGUAGGAUCUCACAGUCCAUUUAAAUGGUGAUUUGCAUGUCUCAAAAUUUUUCCUAUCUCAGGCUCAAUGUUCUUUUAGUUGACUCCUCAUCACUUUCUCCCUCUCCAUCUCAACUGAAAUGAAAGAUACUAGCUCUCCAGUAACUUUGGAGUUGAAUUCUGGAGUCCUAUAUGCUUUCGUUUGUAACUAUGUUGUGGUUAUGAAUUGACCGCUGAUUAUGUUCUUUUGUAUGUUGUAGGUUUGAAGUUUUACAUUGAUCCAGAAGGGUUGAAGCCUCGAGAUGUCUUCAUCACCAGAUGAUAGCUCCAAACAAGAAAAUUUGGGUAAAAAUUUCAUUGCGGAUUGAUAUUCUGGACAAAACCAGUCUCUGCAUCAUACAGAGUGGUGAGAAAAUCUAAGAAGCUUGCAUGUUCCACUGUUAACAGUUUGGAUAACAUCUCAUGUUGCAUGUAAUUUUUUCAGUACAGAACCAGGAUCUACAUAAAGUCAAGAUGUUCAGACGUUAGAAAAGGAAUAACUUGUACAUAGACCUUCACAAAAAGAUAAGUGGCUUUAGAACCUUUUAGUUGAAUAAGAGGUUCGGGUAGAAUUAUAUGCAUCACCCUUUCUUUCUAAUAUCUCUGUUUGCUUUGCCAAAGUCAGCUCCUAGACAUCACUAUUUCUUUUUUUUUUUUUGUUAUGAUCAAACAAAAACCUACUUGUAGGAGCCCCUACCUCAUUCAUCAAGCUUUAAUAGUAUUGAGCUCAGCAUAUUCUAAGAAUUGCAUCAUUUUAAUGGCCCUCGAAGUCUAGAUUCCUCCUGCUUUGAGAUAUUCUAAAAUGCAUAAAAUAUUGAAAUAAAAGACAAGCAAAUCAAAGAUGCAUAAGAACAAGAGCAUGUCAGCAAUAACCAGUUUUUGCAGUUGAACAAACAGGAAAAAUGAUGUAGAAGGGAAAAAUAGAAGUGAGAUCUUGAGACCAGGACUUUAUGGAAAUAAGAAACAUGCUUUAUGCUUCAGCAUGCAGCAAAACUUCAAAGUUUGGACUGCGUUGGUUAAAAGUAAGAAGAGGCAUCCUUUGGCAAUUCCAUUUUCCACUCAAAAAUCUCUUGCUCCGUUUCCGUAGUCGUAGUUGAUAAGGGUUGGAAAAGAGAGCCACAAACCGGGAUGUAAACAUCCGCCAUACUUCUAAUUAGCUAAGCCAUUUCUAGUGAUCCAAACACUCUAGAUGUGAUGCUUAAUUCAGGUACUGAGGAAGGAAUUCCCUCAACAGUCAAGAUGACAAAUUUUAUGAGACCGAACCGCUCUCUGACUUCUCACGAGGGUUUAUUCCAAUAUGAAAUACAUGGCUGAAGAAAUCUGCCAUGUGUUAGCAAAGUAUAUAUCUCAUUAUAUUUAAACCUUUUGUUUUAUAUUGUAUUGUCAUACUUAAGGCAAAAGAUCUCUCACCAAGCCUUGACCACUAUACUUCAAAAUUCUGAAAUUGAAAAAAAAAAUCCAAAUUUAAUUAUCAAUUGCCUCUAUCUCACUCCAUUAAUUUAUUUCUAUUGGAAAUCUUGUAAUAGCCGUCACCUUCGAUUAGUUAUCUUAAAUCCAAUGAUGGAGGUAUUUCAUAACACCAUAGAGCAUAUGUCUCUCUAUACCUAAAAGUUUUUGUCCUAUACAGUAGGAUGAGAUAUACUCCAAAAUUUCCAAACACAAAAGAAGAUACAAAAAGAUAUGGUUAGCGACCAUUAUCAUCUUACUGCAUUAAUUCCUUACCAAUGAAAAUCUCAUGAUAGCUGUUGCCUAGAUAGGCCAUCUUGAAUCUAAUGUUAUAGCAUUCUUCCAAAACUUGUAAAAUAUAUAUCUCACUAAAUUUAAAUAUUUUGUUCUACAUGAUGGGUAGAGCCACACUCCACCCAAAUAUAAAAAGGAGAUAAAACCCAAAUAGGCUCAAUAAUCGCUGCCAUUCUUACUACAUUAAUUUGACCAACAAAAAAUCUUAUGACGGCCAUGGCUUUCUAAUUGACAAUCUUGAACCCAAUAUGCCCCACAUGGGGCUAGCAUGUGUACAUAAAAGAAGUCAAAUUGAAGAAAACAUGGACAGCCCUAUCACUAAAUGCUAGUCAAACCAAGAAUCAAAAAUUAAUUUUAAAAUAAACACUUUACGGAGCCAACGGACCAAAAUUUAUCUAAAACAGAUUUUCAUGUCCAUGCGGACUGCCAUUAGUGUUGCAUUAAAUUAUAGUUUGAGAUGUGGUCCAAAAGAUAGUAAAGAUACACUCCAAAAAGCAUAUAUAUCACUGCAUUUAUAUCUUUUUAUCCUGUGUGGCAGAUAAAGAUAAAAGAUAUAGCCCAAAAUUUCCGAACAGAAAAAAAAUUAAUAUAGUCUAAAUUUGCUCAGCAACACUGUCCCUUUUUUUUUUUUUAGUAAGCUGGAUUUAUUAAACCCAUUUAGUAUAAAUACAUUCAUAAGAAUAAAAAAAUAAUAUAUUCAAAAAUUCAUAAAAAAUAUCUAGCAUAACGUUCUCGUUUUUUGACUGCUUUAAUUUCUUACCAACUGAAGCCUCGUGACGGUCACAACUGUUAAUUGGCCAUCUCAAGUCCAUCGGCUCAGAAUUUUGCUGGCGCUGGUAAAGCGUAUACCCACUGUAUUUAAACCUUUUCGUUUCCACGUGGCCGUCAAAAUUCCAAAACGGAAAAAAGAGAUACAGUCCAGAUUUGCUCACAGCCGUUACCAUCUCACUCCGUCAACUUUUCGCCGACGGAAACCCCGAUAUGCUCACAACCCCCGGUUUUCCGUCUCAAGUCCAACGGCCCACAAUUUUCCACAGCCUGAGAGUCUAAAAAAGUGACAAUACUCACUCAAAGUAACGCUAUCAAUCAUCCACCGCUCAUCUCAAAAAUAUUGAGCAUCUAGACAUGCCACGUUACAGAGAGUGCAAUUCCAGGUCCAUUCAUUGUUUGCCAUAAAAUUUUGAUAUAAAGAUGCGAGUUCAGAGGAAACACCGUUCGGACCCCUGAGAGCCCCACCAACUUACCAGCCCGAAGCGCCGCCGUGGCUGUCGGUGUCGCUUCCCCCCCCAUCACCAACCGUUGAUCACCAUCACGCAACCACCGGCACCAUGUCCAGCGCCUCACAGCCCAAGUCCCUAAGUCCGGAGGAGGAGACCUUGGACUCCUCCCCGGCACCCGAACUCCAACACCUCUCCCGCCACCUCGACGGAGUCCCCUCCAACUCCAAGCCCGAGCUCGAAGGCGAGGCCCCGCCGCAAGGCCACGAGCUGGUGCUCGUGACACCAGACUUCCCCAUGGAUGCACCGGCGUUGCAGCCGCCGCCGCUGAAGGAGGAACCGCGACGGCGAGGAUCCCGGCGGCGGGCUGAGUGGACUCCACCAGAGGGCUUGCAGAUGAUCGUACAAGAGAGGAAAUCUGGCAGGAGCAAGGGAAACAAAGAUACAGUUCGUCUCUUCCCCUGACCAACUUCUCCUUCGUCUCGUUCUUCUCCAUUCUAUCUGUUUUCGUGUACGUUCUCGGAUUUUAGAUAAAACUAGCGUCAUGUUUGUUACCUGUGAGCAUGCAUGCUAUAUAGAACGACGUGGCAGGUGAGAACGAGCUGCUUCUAACCUGCUACGUACGUUGUUUUGUAGAAGGCGAGCUUGCAAAGUGACGAACAUAAGAUCGGCACUGAGAAGCAUUUGUGUGAUAGGUUUCUUGGAUUCAUUAUCUGAAAUUGAGCCUUUUCAUUAGAAGUGAUUUGACUGAUCAGCUGUGUUUAAGCUUAAUAAUUAUUAUUAUUAUUAUUUUGUUCUUAAUCUUAUGGUGUUUGGUGUGAAUGAAACGAAUCUAUGUGAUCAUUAUCUUAGAUUUAUUGCUAAGCGCGAAAGAUUUGUAUUGUUCUUAGAGUGAUUGAUUAGCUGAUCUCUUUUUCAGCUUCAUUAUAAUAGGAUUUCCUCCUAUUCCUCUUUUUUUUUUGGAAUCCAUUUGAAGAAGAUAGAAACUGGAAAUAAGAAAUCCACGGAUAUCCACAAAAGUUAGCGUGAAAACGUUCAAUAAUAGAACGGAUCGAGGAGUUAAAAUAUGAAGAGAAGGAUCGGUAGGUUUAAGAUGCGGUUAAUUCAACAUGACAACAAGUAGGGGUCACAGAAAACGCAAAACGUACAGAAACAAAAACAGAAGGGAAUAGCAAGGUUCCAAGAAUGAUGCAUUGUUUUGAUGGAAAAAGCCGCCAAAUAGAGAAUCAUGUUACAAAAUUUGAUUACUUUAUGUUGAAAUUCCUUUUUACUAGUCUGUUGUCUAGUGAAUAUGUAACCUUUUGUAAGCUAAAAUACCUGGUCAUAUGUUAUCGCUUGUUACUCCAUGAUGCACCAAGUCUAAAAUAUGUUGUUUCCACUCUUAGGAUCAAGUAGUAGGCUUUGUAAUAUAUGAAGGCUGUUAUUGAUGGUUCUCUUGCAUCUCAGUUACAUCAUACACAUACAAAAUGACAUGCAAAACAAUGACAAUUGUAGAUCCAUCAUUGUUGCAAUCGUAUUGUUGAGCAAAAUUGUCGCAAUGGUGUUCUCUGCAGUAUCAUGUGCAAUACUAAUUUUGCCAAACAAAGAUCUUCAUGUAUCAUGCGAAUGUCUUGCUUUAAUUGAGCAUAGGCAUGAAACUAUAUAUGGAGCUUGAUUAUAUAGAUCAAGGUUUUAUGUUCCAGCAGAAUUGGAGGCGUUUCAGCCCUCCCAUUUUAUUUCUGUGAGAAAAUAGGACUGGGACAGACUCAGGACUCCAAAACCCAUUCUUGCAGGGAGAGAAAAAGGAAGAGGAAAGAAGAAAAUGAAGGAAAGAUAAGGAAUAGGCCAGAAAAAAUAAAAGAAAAGAAGAAGAAAAAUGAAAAAAUAAAAGAAAGAAAAAAAAAGGAAAAGAAAAGGAAGGGAAAGAAAGGAAAGUAAAGAGAAAGAAAAAAAAGUAGAAAUAAAGAAAGAAAAUUAAUAAGAAUGAAAGAAAAAUAAGAAAAAAAUAAAAGAAAAGAAGGAACAAAAAAAAUAGAAAAAUAGAGGAUAUCUACUGAGAUGCAUGAUCAAAACUAUUGUCAGGACGAAAUAGGAUAAUAGGGCAUCAUGUUCUAUACAGAAAUCGGGACACCUUUGUCCCACUAGAUUAAAACCUUGAUAUAGAUUGUCUUUCUUUUUCAAUAAAUACCACAACUACCAUGAAAUAUGUAUUUCUUACUCCACUCAAUGUUUCAUAGAAAAUGAAUUUGGAAAAUGAAUUCUACUAUAUUUUUCUAAAAUUAGAAGAAUGUUGGAAAUAGGGGUGGCAAUCAAUCUGGGUCGGACCAAAUAUAGGUCGGGUCGGGUAUAGGAUAGAUUAAAAAUUUAUCAACCUGAAUCUCAUCUGUUUGUGAACUAGUCAAAAAUCAAAAUCCAAACCUGACCAUUUUAUUAAAUAAAUAACCCAACCUAUAAUAGGUUAAAUUAAGUUAAACUGGUUAAAUAUUGCCACCCAUUGGAAACAUGGCAAACACUACAAGGGAAGCCUAUAUCUCCAGUCUAGCUAGAGAAGUUGCUAAGUUACUCAUGUUUGACGUAUCAAACCUAAUUCUAUUAAUAAUGGAACAAGGAUGAAGGAUAAAGAGAGAGGUGCAAUUAUCAAAUGUGCAUCCACUAUAACAGAACAGGGUAUUUGUUAGAAUUAGGAGUUUGGUGUAUGCAUAUGUAUUUCAAAAUUUUAUUUUUCAAACACUGCAGUGAAGAACAAGAUUAAAACACUUUUAAUCUGAAUUAUGUAUGCAUGAAAAUAUAAAAUCACAUCAAGCUAUUUUAUAUGCUGAAAUUGAUAUAUGCUGAAAUUCAGAUUGUGAUCAAAUCACAUACCUGUUUCACAAUCCUUCUCUUCAAAUCUGGAUCUGAAAGAGAAGAGAUUCUCUCUUAGCCGCACUAGUGUUCGGUCUUUACGAGUAUCUACUUGAGAUCAGCUUGGAACAGUCCUUUUUAAUCUGAAUUUUUUCUUCAAAAAUUCAGCUUACUGAAUCUGAACGAAGCUUAGAUCGUGAUCAACACUUGAUCUCUUUCUUUAAUCUUUUUCUUCUCCUCUUCUCUAGAGUUUUUUCUUACUAUGUACUGCUACUAGAUACUAGAAACUAGUAAGGAAGAGGCACCCAACAGUCUUAGACGUGGAAUAUCUUGUGAUGCGCGUUCCAAGAGAAGGGACGUAUAGAACGCCCAAGAGAGAAGAGAAAAGAGGAGGAAGAGAAAAUAGGACUGGAACGGUCUCAAGACUCCAAAACCCAUCCUUGCAGGGAGAGAAAAAGGAAGAAGAAAGAAGAAAAUGAAGGAAAAAUGAAGAAUAGGGAAAAAUAAAAGAAAAGAAGAAGAAAAAUAAAAAAAGAAAAAAAGAGAAAGGAAAGAAAAGAAAGGACAGUAAAGAGAAAGAAAGGAAAGUGAAAAUAAAGAAAGAAAAUUAAUAAGAAUGAAAGAAAAGCAAGAAAGAAAUAAAAGAAAAGAAAGAAAAAAAAAGAUUGAAAGAUGAAGGAUAUCCACUGAGAUGCAUGAUCGAAACUAUUAUCGAGAUGAAACGGGAUAAUAGGGCAUCAUGCUCUAUACAGAAACAGAGACACCUUUGUCCCACGAGAUUAAAAUCUUGAUAUACAUAGUCUUUCUUUUUCAGUAAAUACCACAACUACCAUGAAAUAUGUAUUUCCUACUCCACUCAAUGUGUCAUAGAAAAUGAAUUUGGGAAAUGAAUUCUACUAUAUUUUUCUAAAAUUAGAAAAAUAUUGGAAAUAGGGGUGGCAAUCAAUCUGGGUCAGACCAAAUAUAGAUCGGAUCAGGUAUAGGAUAGAUUAAAAAUUUAUCAACUUGAAUCUCAUCUAUUUGUGAACUGGUCAGAAAUCAAAAUCCAAACCUGACCAUUUUAUUAAAUAAAUAAUCCAACCCAUAAUAGGUUAAAUUAAGUUAAAUUGGUUAAAUAUUGUCAUCCAUUAGAAACAUGGCAAACACUACAAAGGAAGUCUAUAUCUCCGGUCUAGCUAGAGAAGUUGCUAAGUUGCUCAUGUUGACGUACUAAGCCCAAUUCCAUUAAUAAUGGAAUAAGAAUGAAAGAUAAAGAGAAGGGUGCAAUUAUUAAAGGUGCAUUAAUUAAAAAAAAUAAUGAGAAUCAAUUAGGAAGUAGGUGUUUGGAAUAUGUUUCAAGGGAGAAUCUUGUCCCUAAGGAGAUUCAAAAGAGGGCAUACUACUCUUCAAUAGAAGAGUCUUGCUAUUAAGAGAAGAAGAUAUGGAGAAACAGAGUGUGUGAUAGAGAGAGGUACAACCACCAAUCAUUGUCAUUCCUGCUCUCUAUGUCUUUAUUGGUCAUUGCUCCAAAUCAUAACCUUGCAAAGAGAAGUUUCAACAGGGAUUUCCAAGUAUGAAAAAUCUUAUGGUUAAUUCGAAUCUAUAAAAUAUUCAUAGUUGAUCUAUUUGUAUUUGAUUUCUUGCACUUUGAUUAGAGGGUGAGCUUUGAUGCAAUGAUAAGAUUCCAUUGUGACCUUUUGAGUUUAAAAAUGAAAAUAGCCUUUACACAACGACAAGGUUACAUAUAUCUGACACUUUCCAAAUGCCAUAAUGGCCGGAGUCUCAUGCAACGGCCAUCCUUUUUUCUCACACUUUGGUUCUAUAAAAGAUAUAUAAAAGGUAUGUUCCAACAAAAAGAGAAUUAUUAUAUGAUGAAGACCAACAUAUUUGGCAUUAAUGGGAGCCCCCUUUACUUCAAUGGAAAGGGGGGAAUCGUCAUUUCACAGCCACUCCUCUAUAAAAUUUUUAUCUAUCUUUUCAACUAAUAUGAUGAUGAAAAAUGAUAGAAAAUUACAUAGAUAGGAGGAAGAAACGAACCAAAUCAGAACUCCGAAGCAAAGAGGAAUGAAAUGGAGAAAUGAUUGGAACAAUUAAAAAAAGAAAGAGAACAGUGGCCCUUUUCAUCCUGGGGACAUUGUAGGAGAAUAAUAUCUAGAACGUGCUUCAAAAGUUAUUCAUUAUUUAUAUAUACAGAUAGAUUCUGAUAGUGAUCUAAAUCUUUUUGUAAAUAUAUGGAUUUAUUAAGAAAUUUCUAUUGAUCUGAUUUCGAUGGGUACUCAAAGUAUAAUUUUUCUAAAUACUUGCCAUUCAAAAUAUAUGAGUGAAAAGACUAUCAAAAAAAGAAAUUAGCCUACUCCAAAUGGCGGCCCACUUUGCAAUGAAGGAUAAAAAUUAGUAGCCACCUUCUCCAUGCUCCACCAAAUCAUCAUGAUCCUUUCGAAAAGAUAUUGGACAUAUGCUUUUAACCAAUCUAAAGCUUUUUAGACAACUUAAAGAUCGAAAAAUAUCAAAUCUACUAUGAGAUCAAGAUGGAAUUUACUCCACAUACUAAUAUAUUGGCAAGAAAAAAAUUGAGUCUUCAUUUGAAAAUCAUCUAAAUCAUCGACACUUGUCAUCAUAAUCUUCUCUACCUAAGAACUAAGAUUAAAGUAACAACCAAGAACACACCCACUUGUCCUUCACAUCCUCAAUAUAAUCUUCGCUCUCAGAGACCAAAUUCUUUCCACCACAUAUGAAGAUUGUGACUCAUUUUUACAUCUUAACAGUAACUCCAAGAGGCUUAAAUCUUCCUUCCCUCAAAAAUACAAGGGGAACUAAUUUAUGAUCUCUCCACAAAUGGUCUAAAUAGUAAACUAAAGUUGCAUUGCAUUAAUUAAUUGCCUCAUCUAAAGAAACUAAUCUGAAACCAUGCUUUUUAUUAGUUUCUCAAUGAUAUUGUUAUGGGGUUGCCACUUUUUCUGUCAAUUUGUUACUUUUUCAUCAUUCCAUUUUUCUUUACUAUGUUUAGGUGGUGAGGGUUCCAAGACAUCAUUUUUUCCUACUUACAUAUUGCUUCUCACAUUUGUGUAUUAUAGUAGUAGUGAUAUUGAAAAGAAAAAAAAUCAUGGUUGAAAGACUUAGUUCCAAAUAUAGUUGAUGGGAUUGUAUUUCUCUAGAAUCAAUAACAUGCAUUGCACUUGCUGAGUAAUUAUCUUUUAUGGAUUUUCUUCUAGCAACACAAACCAUCUAAAUGUUGUGCUCAAGUAUGAUCUAGGAGGAUAAUUUGAACCAUUGAAAAAUACUUUGGCCACUUGGGAAGGCCAGUAUAUAAAGUUUUGAAGAAAGACCACUACAUCUAAGACUCAAUCAUUAUUUCCAAUUUUCAAGGGUCAUGAUUUUCUCAUUUGGCAUCCUUUUUUGUAUGCCAUGCACCAAAAUAAAGCUCUCAAAGAAUGUUGCUACAAUGCAUCUUUGGUUAGGGGCCUCGAUGAUGGUUCAGCCUCUAAAUAGGCCGGUUCAAAUAAAUAUUUUCUUUUCAUAAAAGAUUUUAACCAGCCAUAAUUCACAAUCCAGGUAAAAUUAGACGAAGUGAUUACGAACAAAAUUGGUAUAGGAAGAAAAAUCUAGCUCUAGUACGAUUUCAGCUUUUUCUUGAUUAUUUCAAUCAGUUAUGGCUAUGUUAGAAAAGCUAUAAUAACCUCUUCUAACUAGAGGAAGAAUUUGAUCUAAAUUUGAUAAGGAUAAACCUCAUUUGUAUAAAUAAAGGCAUUAUAACUGAUUCUAUUAUAAAUUGAUGAAAGAAAAAAGAAAUUUAGUUGGAACUCUACUUUCAAAAUUAUUUUAGUUUCAUUAUUCUUUUAAGAGGUCUGACUUGGAUAAUUUGAAAGAAACUCUUUCUGUUUCUCGAUCCAAUCAAAGUUGCUUGUAGGGGUAUUUAGAUGUUGUACGCAUGAAAUAUCUAAUUACGCACCUUAACAUAAAAGAUUCUUUUAAAAGUUCAUAUAAUAAAGAUGGGUCAUUUCAAUAGUACCAUAUAAGUUGAGCAUAACUACAAAAAUAUUGGUAUAUUUUGCUAUUAUUUUUAUCCUUAAAUCACAUGAAAACUCCCCUGCACUUGUAUGGAAUUUGAGGAAAUAUUGAAGCAAAUUCCAUGUUACAUAAUACGGUGCCCUGCCAUGGCAAUACAACAUCAAGAUUCUAGAUAGUAAUAGCAUGAAAUGUACUUCAUAGGUCUUUGUUAGAUGGAUCAACUAGUGAGAUUUCAUUUUCAUAAUCCUAUAUACAUCUCAAAAGAUCUUGCCUAUUUGGAUAAGAUAAAAUAUGAUAAGCAAAUUAGAAAAUGUACUAGCCAUUCUCCUACUAUAUUUGUUACUCUUAAGGGGCCUAUAUUAAAGAUAAAAGUGUUUAUUCUAUGGGCCUACUACAUACACCAUGAGAAUGUAUGAAGCACUUGAAGCACAAAGAGCACCACAAUAAUCUAUCUGAAGUUUGAAAAAAAAAUCAAAAAUUAGAUUUUGGGUUUAUACCUUUAUGGAUGAGCUUGAGGAUCUACUUAGAGAGUAUCUUCGUGAUGAGAGGCUUCACAAUUGGAGUGAUCUACUAAUAGAUGAUGCUCAAGAGAAGAGGAGGCGGCAGUGAUGGAGCUAAUUAGGGCUGAGACUAGUAACAUUCGGUAGAGGAGGAGGAAGAGAAAAAGGAGGAGGACAAGCUGGUAGAUAAGGAGAAGAGGGAGGUUGAGUAUGCUGACAAGGAGCUUGGAGUAGAUGACGCUUAGGAGAGGAGAGGAGGAAGAGGAGUAGGCCAAUGGGGAUCUCAAAGUGGAUGAUGUUUGGGAGGGGAGGGGGAGGAGAAAAAGGUAUAAAGCUUUGUGGGGCAAUAAAACUUACACGAAGACGAAGCCACCGAAACGAUCCAAGACCUCUCCCAUCAACCUGCAUGUCGAAUCAGCAACCACCUACAACUAUAAGAGAAUCAAGCUGGAUGUGCUUCUCGCUGUCGUUGAGCAACAUCUUGAUUUUUUAAUCUCAACUCCAAAAAUUUUUAAUAGGGAGGAUUUCACAAGCUCUUGGAUAAGUUGGUGACCAAGUCUAUAUAGGGUAUCCUUUUAUAACAUACCUUAUCCAUCAGAGAUAGUAUCUGAAUCAAUCAUAAAGAUUAAAAAAUGGAUGUUAUUUAUGAUAGUUAUAAAGAAAUUAAUUUUAUUACAAUAACCAUCAAGGAUAUGCUUGUCACUUUAUUGAAGACAUCUUUAGUCAGAGUCCAGACUAAUUAAGCCAACUAAAAUAAAUUUCGAUGUAUGUUUAGUAUGGGCCACAUUCGGAUAGGACUUAAUCAGAUAAAUUCUAACAGAAGGCCCCAUGAGGAGAGGACACUCAAGAGAGGAGGAGGUUAGAUGAAGAGCAAGAGGAGGAGGAGUUGGGAUCCAUAGAGGAUUAGGGUUGCAAUGGAUAAUCUGAGGGUUGCUGUGGAUGGCAGUUCUGUGAUGUUCGACAAUGCUUAUAAGUAUCAUUUUAUGGGAUAUUUUCAACAGUGUACCUUAGCAUCGUCUAAUGAAAAUGUAUACUAAUAUUCAUCUCAAAAAUAUCAAAAUAAAUAAGUUUAAAAGUGCCAACGCUUAUAAGUAUCGUCAAGUUUUGAUAUUUUUUAAAAAUGUCAACAAGAUUUGGCAUAGUGGUUCACUUUUCGACGCUUUCUACUAGCGUUAAUAGGUGAGAGACGGGAUUCUCCUAUUUUUUUGUAAUGCUAUAAAUAUUAAAUACAUACUAUGGGUAGUAAGAGAAAUUUGAUUAGUUUGCAAAAUCGAAGAUAGAUAUUACUACUAUUAUUUUUUACAUUUGGCUAUUCAGAUGGGAUCGAAUUUAAUUCAAAAUAUUUGAAGGGAUGAACUUUUCCAUGUUGGGAGAAUUUUUCUAUAUUGUGAUGAACUUUUCUAUGUUGCAAGGGACUUUCCUAUACUACUUAUAGGUUGUGAGUUGGAUGCCAAGGAAGAGUUAGAAAUAGGAGUUGUCUUGAGUGGGUAUAUUGUCUAUGAGAGAUAUUUGCUUGUGUAAAAUGAUGCUUAGAGGCAGAAUCUUUUUUUAUUCUUUUCAAGAAGAUGAUUGUAACUAUUUUGUGAUGAUGCUUAAGAUGAUCCUUGAGGAUUAGGGUCCGAUCCCAUUUGCUCACGAGGUACACAUAUAUUUUUCUAUAGAACCAUUUGUAAUCCAUGGUUUAUCUUGUUUUAAGGGAAGCUAUGCUUUCAAUUUGAAUUGCUAACUAUAUUUUUUGUUGAAAGUCAAGUAUUUUCUUCCAAAAGGCUAUGAAAGUAAUCAAACAAUGUAAACCUAAUGCCUAACAAGAUUAAAGAUUCAAGUGGAGCAGACUUAGGAUUUAUUAAGUUUCGCUUCCACAUUUUUAUUAUCAUUAGGUUUGUAUCACAUGAUUUGGUUAAAUAGAUAGUUUUUUGAGUUUCUUGUUUUGUCACUAGCCAAGGUCAAUCCCGUAUUAGAGGUUGCACUUGAUCUUUCUUAUACAUUAUAUAUAGGACUAGCGAAAAUUAAUCUCAUGUGGAUUAAGGGGCAGGUUUCAUGGACCGUUCCUCACCAAGCAUUCCUAUUUAGGGCUACUCAAGGGGAUAGCAUUCAUAAAUAUCAUAUUUGGAGUUAUUUCAUAGUUUGACAUGCUUUUUAUAACUAAUGAUCAACCUAAUGUCAACAUUCUACUUUUUUCAUCAGGAUGUGAUGAAAGAAAUUUAUAUUUGAUAGAUCUCUCGAAUUCAUUACUGAGGGGGUGCUUGGUCGGGAAGAGUGUGGGUCAAGAAUCGAAAUGAAAAUGGAUGACUCCCAUUCCAACCAUUUAGUUGGGAAGAGUCCUAUUCCGAUUUCGAUUUCGAGAUGGAAUGGGAAUGGCCCAAUCUACAUAGAACUCAAUCCCUACUCCUCUGUAUGGAUUCAAAUUUUCAUUCCAAUUUCAAUUCUGAUCACGAACCAAGCACUUUAGAAGAUUUGGCUAUUAUGAUUCUGAUUUCAAGCCAUGUCAAUUUUCGUUCCGAUUUUGAUUACGUUUGCGAACCAAGCACCCUUUGAAAGUAAAAUAUCUAUAUUGUAGAUGAGAUACCUAGGUGUAAGCAGGAUUUGAAUCCAACUCAUUCGGUACCAUAGCCCAGUGGUUUUGCCAGCUGAAUUAGUUAGCACCCACACGCAGAAUUUUAAUUGUUGUACUUUAUUAAUUGCAACAUGUGAAGCUAAUGUGAUUAAAAUACCAUAUUUUGCUGAUGAUAAUUUUAUAAUCUUGAGCAUUUGCUAUUUUACAUUGUGCAUAGCAUACAAAUGUCAAAUGUGAUGGAUCAUUUCACUUUACUAUUAAUACCUCUCUACUGCCCCAUAGAAAACCUGACAUCCUAAACUAUUAUGGUAUUGCAAUUGUUUUUAGCAAUUGAGCAUUCUAGUGGUUGAACUGAAUUAGCAAUGUUGCUAGAAUAAAAUGUUAUAUGCAUUAUCAGAAAUAUUUCUUUAACUUUUUCCUCUACCCCUGGUACCAAACUACCUAUUGCCUGCAGAAGAGUAAUAUAUCUGAACUUUUAGCUGAAUCCUUCUAAUCAGGCUCACCAAAUGUGUAUCUUCUUUCCUGCAAACUGCUUGUACAAUGUCAUAUCUAAACCAAAGCAACAUUUUUGGGUGUCGCAGUAUUACACUCUUCCGGGAGUACGCACAAAAUUCAGGUCCAUACCAGAAGUCCAAAGAUAUCUCGAGAAAAAACCCGUUAGGAUUUGGAGGAAGGUAAGGUUCAACAUUUUUAAUGCUAUAACGUGUUCAGAAUUUUUCUAAUAUCUUUUUGAUGACCCAUGUGAGCUCCCGUUAUUGCUAUCAUUUACUCGUAAAUUCUCAGAAUUCUGGAACUCGGCCUUCCCAACCUGCUGAAGCCGGAAGUUCCUCUAACCCGUCGGACCCACAACCAGCUGCAGAAUCUUGUCCAGAGGAACCUAAAGAACAAACUAAAGGUAUUCCCAAAAAUUCUGGAUUUAUAACAUCUAAUUUUCAUGCUUGUCUUUAUGCUUACUUGCCUGACUUGAUUCAGAUAUGAAGUUUUUUCCUCAUUUUUGGCUUCUAUUUUGAUUGUUCGACAACUUAGACAUGCAUUAUCAGUUUACCCCAAAAUAUAUUAUAUGAACAAAAGCAAGUGAAUAUAUUAUUGGUUCGUACAUUUAGACUGCAUGUAUUAUAUGAACGCUUGCUAUAUAAUUGCUCCUUAUUUGUUGAUGAGUGAUGUUCCUCCUUUGUUGGUUCAUGCGGGCGGUAAAGAGCACUAUAGUUUUCUGCUUUAAAAUAUCUGCACCUAUUCAGCUUUUUAGUGAUCUUCUUUGUUUUUUGUGUGUCUGUCCUUGAAUAGAUGAGGAACGAGCAGAACGACCUAAGAGUAGACCAAAGUUAUGCGUGCAACGGAACUUGUUCAAGCGUUCUCGUAGGCACAAGCACAAGAAGCUCUGAGGCAACAGAAGAGGGGGAUACUCUUUUUUUUUUUCGUUUCAGUUUUGCCUUGUAAAUAAUUCUCUUAUUGCUGUCCUAUGAGCAUUUUUUCCCUCUGCAGUGCUUUGGUGCCUGCCUAAACCUUUGAUGUAUAGCCUUACCAUCUCAAAAUCCAAUAAUGUGCAUACCAGUACUUACAAAGAUCUGGUGUUUUCAAGAAUCUUUAGAUGCUGUAUGAGAUCGUACAAAGUGGAGAAGAAUUUAAUAAUUUGUGUGAAGCAUGGGACUAAUAUUUCUUCAUUAUAUUGUAUGGUUGUGACAGAAUCUACAAAUUCUUUUUACAAUACUAUCAUAUGAUAGUGAUAAUUAAUCAUGUAAUUCUUUGAAUCUCUGAAUUUUUUCCAUGAUAUACACAGCAAUAUAGGAGGUAUCUUGGACGAGAAUUGCUGCUAAUGGAUGACAAUUAAGCUGCACUUUUUUGGAUUGUUCGUCUUCAAAGGAUACUGACUUUGUUGAUUGUCAAUGAAUUAGGGCAUAUUUUGGAAUAGUGACUGAUAGGUUGAGCCUACUACAUUUUAACAAUAUGCUAGAAAGCGCUGAAAAUUUUCUUGCAAUAUUAGAUGCCAAAGUCUGUAAUUUUCUUUGUGUUAUGGUCAACCAUAAGACCUUCCAUCUCUUGAAUUUAGACUGAUAGGUUGCGAGUGGGUUGGAUAGACCAAUUUUUGAUAUGGAAUCUAUGCAACAUUAAUCUAGUCUAGCCCAAACUGAAAUUAUUUAGAUUAGGCUUGGAUUCAGAGAUAUGACCUGCUUUGAAUAUAAAUUGGAUUUGGAUUGCUAAACUUUUGCAAUUGAAACCUGAACCGACCCAAACCAUUGUGAAACUAGUACAAUAUAUACUUUAAAUUCCUCCUUGAUUGUAAGAAAUUGGUUUCCUUUUGUCAUAUGGUUAGCCAAUAAUAUAUGUUGUUACUUUUAACCAUAUGUUUUUUUUCAAUCAAUCUUCCAUUGAACGUUCCUUUUGUUUAGUUACAGCUCGGCUUUAUGAAAUGGUAUAGGCGUACAUAUAAUACACAUCAACUAAAACUAGAAGUAUGCAUGAUUUCCCUUAUUUUGUCAUUUUCAACCAAUUUUAGGCUUUAAAUGAAGGGGAAAAAAAAAAGGAAUGGAGGAAGCAGGUGUCUAUACCAAAUCCUACCUUAGAUUAGGACUUUAGAAAAAGGAAAACUAGUAGCUCCAAAUGAUUUUCCUCACCUUCCCCCUUCCUCUUCUUGUUCUGGCAUUUGACUUCUCCACUCUUUCUGGUUACCGAAGGGUUUAGAAUCAACAUGAAUCGAGUGGAAUCAAGAUUGAACCUACAAACUAACUUUGUUCUGCACAAAUUCAAUAUGGUAUCAUCCAGAGUGAACUAUUCGGGUCAACCAUGCAAACCAUGAUUUUAAUAUAUUUUUUCAUUAUUUUUUUAAAAUUUUAAUAUUUUCUGCUACAUUAAAUUAUAUUUCAGUUUUCAAUGGCUAUCAAUCUUAUAACAACUAAUGACUAUACAUAAAAUAGAAAUAAGAAAGGUGAAUAAUAUACUUCACGAAUGAUAACUAAACAAAAUGUGAAUUAGCCCAAUGUUUAAAUACUAGUCAGAGCAAGGGUUGAAAAUUUAAUUUUCAAUUGAGUGAGAAUGGGCUUAUCUUUAAAUUUAAAAUUUGUAAUACUCCAAAAUUUAUAUAAAGCAGGUUACAUGCCGCAUAGAUGUUGCCAUGAACGAUAGGUGGAGAUAUCGUCCGAUACAAUCAAAAAUUUACUGGAGAAGCACAUGGAUCACUACAUUUAAUUUUUUUGAUAUAUAUGGUUAACAGAGAUAACACUCCAACUUCUUAAACAAAAAGGAGAUAUAAUCGGAAUUUGGUUAGUAUCACUAAGGAUGUAUUUGGUUAUAUUUUUUGAUUUUUAUUUUUUAAAAAAUAUUUUUUAUUAUUAUUAUUUUUUUAUUACUGAGUAAAAUAAAAAAAAAAAGUAAAAAGUAUGUUUGGUAACUACGUUGCUAUAAAGCAAAAAACAACGAUUNNNNNNNNNNNNNNNNNNNNAAAAUAUAUUUUUUUAAUAGCUAACCGAACGCAUUCUAAGAGUGCAUUUGGUUACACUUUUUGAUUUUUGAUUUUAAUUUUAAAAAUAUUUUUAUUUUUUGAUUUUUAUUAUUUAGUAAAAUAAAAAAUAAAAAAUAUGUUUGGUAGUUACAUGGCUAUAAAGCAAAAAACAAUAUUUGGGGAUGGCGACGAGGGAGAAGGAUUCGAAAAGUAAAAAAGAAGGGGAUGGAGAGGUGAAGAGAUCGACGAGGAAGAAAUGUUUGGAUUUUUUACUUUUUAAUUUGACAUUUUAGACGUGAGAAAGCAAAAAAAAAUAAAAAAUAAGUUUUAAAAAGAAAAAAAUUUAUUUUAUAUAUAAAAUAAUUAUUUUGAUUAUUUUGAUUUUGAUUUUUUACUUUUCAUAGUAUUAUUAAACAUUAUUUUUAAUUUUAUUUUUAAAAUUAAAAAUAAAAAAUAUUUUUUAAUGACCAAUCAAACGCACCCUAAAUUAAUUUAUUAGAAACAGAGACCUUGUGGCAAUCACUGGUCUCUUGUUGGCCAUCUUGAAUCCAAAAGCGCAAAUUUUUUUUUUGCACUAAUGAAGCAUAUACCUCAGUAAUUAAAACAUCUGGCACCCCACAAUUCUCAAACAGAACAAGAUAUACUCCAGGUGUGGUCCAUAACCAUGACCAUCUCACUGCAUUAAAUUUACCAACAAAAAACCGUGACAGUCACUGCCGUCGAUUGACCAUCUUUAAUCCAAUGGUUCAAAAAUUUUUUCACGCAUCUCGAAGUCUCAUUACAUGGUUGACAUGUUAAACUGACUAUAUACACCACAGAUUAUAAUAUCCAAAGCCCGAAGCACCUGAACAUGCCAUUUUGUUGGCUCAAAUGCUGGUUUUCUUAUUAGUUGUCAUAAAAGCUUAAUAAAAGUAGAAAACCAACCAUGGGAAUAACAACCAAACGAGUCUAAACAGUCAAAACUAUGAAACAAAUACAGCAUAAGUGUACCUAUCAUACACAACAGGAGUAACGACUAAACAAAAUAUGAACAAGCCCCAUUGUCAAAUAUUGGUCUAAACAAGGUGAAAAAUUAAAUUUUAAAAUGAGCGAGAGGGUGAAUAUCUUUAAAUUAAAAAUUUGUAAGGACCAAUACUCCUAAAUUUAGAUAAAGUAGAUUUCCAUGUAGACUGCCAUGCAUUUGGUGUUGCCAUAAAUAAUAGAUUAGAAAUAUGGUCCAAAAAGUAAAGAUAAGCAUAUAUAUAUAUAUAUAUAUAUAUAUAUAUAUAUAUAUAUAUNNNNNNNNNNNNNNNNNNNNAAAAGUAAAUAAUAGACAUAUAUAUAUAUAUAUAUAUAUAUAUAUAUAUAUAACAUUUCUAGAAGAUAGAGAUACACUUCAAAAUUAUCAAAUAUAGAGAAACAGACUAAAUUUGGUUAAUAAUCACUACCAUCUCACUAUAUUAAUUUAUUAGUGCUAGAAACCAUGUGACAGUUGUCUCUUGUUGGCCAUGUUGAAUCUAAAAGCCUAAUUUUUUCAUAUAUAUCUCACCACAUUAAAUCCUCUUGUCAUGUAUGGUAAGUAGAGAUAUAUUCCAAAAUUUGUAGACAAAACAAGGGACAGUCCAAAUUUGACUAAAUAACCAUUGCCAUCUUGAAGCAAAUAAUCCAAAAUCUUAUAGAACUUCUUGAAGUCUCCAUACACACUUUCACAUAUCAACCUUACUCCAACCAAUCGAUCAAUGAUUGUCUACAAAGCCUAAAGCAUGUGAACAUGCCGUUUUGAUGGGUAUAAUGGCAAGUUUGAUUUAUUAGUUGCAAUAAAAUUUUAAUAGGUAAUCAGCCAAAACAUAACCUAAAAUUUAUAUAAUAUUUAGAAAGCAUAGAAGAGUCAUGACUCAGAAAGAAAAAUGGCACAAGUGUAGAUAAAAUAUAUUAAAAAUAAUAACCAAAGUAAAUAUGAAUUGGACCAACAAGUAAAUGAUCAUUGAAGCAAAGGCACUGAAAAUUAUAAACUAGUGUGACGGGCUUAUAUUAAUUUAAAGAAGAGUAGAGGGGUAAUGCUCCAUAAUUUACAUAAAGUAGAUUUUCAUGUAGAGGGACCCUAAGAUGUUGCAAUAAAUGAUAGAAAAAGAUAUGGUCCAAAAGUUAAAUGUCCCAUCCAAAUUUACUAGUCAAGCAUAUUAUCUCACUCCAUAUAAAUCUUUUAACCUAUAUAGUAGGUGGAGAUACAGUCCAGAAUUGUUAAACCGUAAAAGUAAUUUGUCCAAAUUUGAGUAGUAAGUACUGCCAUCUUGAUACAUUAAUUUAUUAUUGAUAGGAACCUCCUGAUAGUCAUCAUCUCAUGUUGGCCAUGUUGAAUCCAAAAGUCUAGCACUAGUAAUGUGUAUAUCUCACCACGUUUAGAACAUCUUGUCAUGUAUGGCAAGUAGAGAUACAUUCAAAGUUCUCAAACAGAAUCUAUAAAAUCCAAAACUGCUUGAUAAACAUCUCUACCUUUCUACAUUAACUAUCAGCAAAAACCCCAUCGUAAUCGUUGCUUACUUACUGGCCAUCUGGAAUUCAAUGAUCCAAAAUCUCACUCGCCACUUAGACAUAUUAAAUUGGCAGAUUUAUUUUAUUACAUGCCAUAAAUUUUAAAAUAAAUAAAGAACUAAUCCACGUAGCCAAAAAUUUUAUAGAGCAAUUCUUUGUGCACCGCAUACGGUGAUUGGAUCGUAUGCAGGAAAGAAAUGGUAUGAGACGGAAUAAAAGAAAGGAGAGUUGCGUGCGCACCAAUCACCGCAUGCGAUGCAGAAUGAGCUGCACCGCAUGCGGUGUAAUAAGAGUUUUACAAAUUUUAUAACAUGCAAUAUGCACGAAACUAUCANNNNNNNNNNNNNNNNNNNNNNNNNNNNNNNNNNNNNNNNNNNNNNNNNNNNNNAUAUAUAUAGCAUGCAUCACGAAUGAUAACUAAAUAAAAUAUGAGUAAAUAUUGGAGUUUAGAGCUAGUUGAAGGAGGAUUGGAAAUUAAUCUUUAAAAUUAAGAUUUAUCUGUAAAUUAAAAAUUUGUAGGGGGUAAUAUUCUAAAAUUUAUGUAAACAAAUAUCCACAUGCCUUGCAUACCGUCCCAUAGGUGUUGGAAUAAAUGUAUCACAUUACAUUUAAAUCUUUUGCCGUGGGUGGUAGGUAGUGAUGUGUCCACGUCAAACAGAUCAUCGGAGUCAACCGCUGUUCUACCCCACGAAGUAUUGUCCGCUUUGACUAGGUCCGAAUGGAGAGCGUAUCCCGUGGUCCCCACCAGGGGUUGUCUCUGGGGCCCCUGAUCGGGCCCAUCGGGGGAUGUGUCCCCCGGCCCAGCGUCACGCAGACGGCCUCACGAUUUUAUCUUUUCACCCUCUCGCGGGGGAAAAGGUGCCUCGUGAGGGAAGGACGUGCUCGUAUCCCUCUUAAGCACAUGACACUUCAGAGUUUGCCCGAUGUGGAACUUUUAAGGGAGGUCCCCCCGUGGCCUGCCCACAACAUAACCCCCCAUUCUGGAGGGGCAUGUACUAUGGAACAGGGGACGGGUGGCCACUAAUGUGUCCACAUGUCAAGCAGGUCGUUAGAGUCAACCGCCGCUCCGCCCCACGAAGUAUUGCCCACUUUGACUAGGUUCGGAUGGGGAGCGUGCCCCGUAGUCCCCAUCGGGGGUUGUCCCUGGAGCCCCUGAUCGGGUCCCACCGGGGGAUGUGCCCCCCGGCCCAGCGUCAAGCAGAUGGCCUCACGAUUUUGUCCUUUCGUCCCCUCACGGGAGAAAAGGCACCUCGUGAGGGAAGGACGUGCUCGUAUCCCUUUUAAGCACAUGACACUUCAGAGUUUGCCCGAUGUGAGACUUUUAAGGGAGGUCCCCCCGCGGCCUGCCCACAACAUACUGAUGUGUUCACGUGUCAAGCAGGUCGUCAGAGUCAACCGCCGCUCCGCCCCACGAAGUAUUACCCGCUCUAGCUAGGUCCGGACGGGGGACGGGGAGUGUGCCCCGUGGUCCCCACCGGGGGUUGUCCCUGGGGUUCCUGAUCGGGUCCUACCGGGGGAUGCACCCCCCGGCCUAGCGUUACUCAGACGGCCUCAUGGUUUUGUCCUUUCGUCCCCUCGCAGGGGAAAAGGCGCCUCAUGAGGGAAGGAUGUGCUCGUAUCCCUCUUAAGUACAUGACACUUCAGAGUUUGCCCGAUGUGGGACUUUUAAGGGAGGUCCCCCGCAGCCUGCCCACAACAUAGCCCCCCACUCUGGAGGGGCAUGUGCUGUGGAAUAGGGGACGGGUGGCCCCUAUCUGGCGCGCCACUGAUGUGUUCAUGUGUCAAAUAGGUCGUCGGAGUCGACCACCGCUCCACCCCACGAAGUAUUGCCCGCUCUGGCUAGGUCCGGACGGGGAGCGUGCCCCGUGGUCCCCACCGGGGGUUGUCCUUGAAGCCCCUGAUCGGGCUCCAUCAGAGGAUGUGCCCCCCAGUCCAACGUCACGCAGAUGGCCUCACGAUUUUGUCCUUUCGCCACCUCACGGAGAAAAAAGUAUCUCAUGAGAAAAGGACGUGCUCAUAUCCUUCUUAAGCAUAUGAUACUUUAGAGUUUGUCCGAUGUGAAAUUUUUAAAGAAGGUUUCUCUGCGGUCUGUCCACGACAGGUAGCUAGGGAUAUGCUUCAAAAUUUUUAGAAAAAAAAAGAUCCAUUCCAAAUUUGCCCAUUAAUGAUCGCCAUCUUACGACAGCAAUUUCCUACCAAAUGAAACCUCCUCCAAUCGGCUACCACUUGCUACCAACGGGCCAAAAUUCUCCCGCGAUCUUGAAAUCUUCCAAAACACUAAACUAACGCGGGUCACAAAAUAACCACAACCAAUCGGCCAAACGUACGGUGAUGCCAGAUGCCAGAUUAAUGCCUAACAAUGGAUGUUUCUCUUUAGUUACCAUAAAAUCUCGAUGUUUUAAUAUAAAAACAAGAGUGGCAAAGAGAAGAAGAUCCUUGAGCCCCACUUGCCGCGAAAAACCCUCGUCGCCGCCUACUGUAGGUGCCACCAUCACCAGCCAUUCUCCUUCACCUCAUCACCAUCACACACACACACACCCACCCAUUUCGGCCGCCUCGCAGCCUCCGUCUAAGAGUCCAAAGCGGGACACAUUGGACUUCCCUUCUCGCGCGAAUAUUCCAUAUUCUCUCCGGCCACCUUGGGGGAAUCCCCUCCGACGCUGAGCUCGAGCCCUCAAGCGAACUCUACCUUGCCGAAGCCAAGGCCCUCUUGGACGCUUUGCCGCGAGGCGGUGAGUUGGUGCUCCUGGCCGCGGCGGUGAGGAACCCCGCCGCGAAUACACCAACGGCCGGGGACGCCACCCCAAACGCGCCAGCAACAGGGGAUGCCGCCACAAACGCACCAACGACAGGGGGACGCCGCCGUGAACGUGACAGCGAUGGGAGAUGCUGCCAUGAACGUGCCGGCGGAGGGCGUCGCUGCGAAUGUGCCGGUGGAGGGACCGCGACAGCGGGUGGUGCGACGGCAGCGCCGACGAGAGCAGUGUAAUCUGCCAACGGGCCCAACGACAACCGCUAGGGAGCGGAAAUCCGGCAAAAGCAGGGGGAACAAAGAUAAAAUUUGUUCCUUUCACUAUUAGAUUUCUUUCUUCUCCUGCUCUCUAUUCUCGUGUAUGUUUUAAUUAGAUUUUAGCUGAAACACAGAGCAUAUCAACGGUAGAUUCUGUUCUGUUAAUGAAUCUAAGACUAUAUCACUGCCAUUUCUCCUUACUUGCCUGCAUGCUUGCAUUUACAUAGAACAAUGUAGAACGUGAGGGAUUUGCUUUUUCUGACAUAAAGCCUACAGGCACCCUCAGAUAAGCUUACAAUGACUUCAAAAGUAAUAUCACUGGAGAUGGAUAAUCUCCGUGGAGCAGGAUUUUGUUUUCCAAGGGAGCUCCGUUUUGUUUUCCAGCUUUUUCACAAAAUUGUCUUCAUAUACCAUACUAUUUAACGUCUAGGGGAAGAUCAUCUACAUGCAGUAGGGAAUGAUCUAGCUUGCAAGGGACUCUUGCGGCAGCCUCAAAAAUCAUAUGAUGUUUUGCAAUAACAAACAAAGCUUCAUUAAGCAUGCAUACACCACAAGGAAAACCUGAAUCAAACAAGAUUUGUCUAUAGAAAUAGUGUACUUCAAAAUUAUUGAGACAAAGGGCAAGAUAAAGCAUGAUCAUCUCCUCUGUCCGCUGACAAACUAGAACAGAAUACUUCAUCAUACUAACUGGAUGCCACCACUUAAAAUUACAACAAUACAUGGAUCAACUAGCGCUCAGUUCUAUAAAGAAGAGAGAACAAUCAUACAUGACUAGAAGGUCGGAUCAAGCGACCUCAAAACUUGCCUUCCUACUACCAUUCACCUCGGUCACCGACCAUUCAUCUCAGUCCCCGACCAUUGACGACAACCCAUCUGCUCAAGAAACUUGGUCAGCCGCAUGUGCUUCGCCGCCCACUGCUCCGCCAACUUCUGUUCCUUAACUUCAGCAUCCCUCCUCAAUCCUAAGAUCUGCUCCUUGUACUCUGCUUCAAUCCUCUCCAGUGCCCGCUGCUGCUCCUCCCGGAGUGCCCUCACCUUAGCCUCGAUCUCCUCCAUCUUCUCCCUCCUCUUGCAAGCCUUCUCCGACUCCAGCUGCAGCUCGACCCUCUUCAGCCUCCAUGCUGCUUCCUUCUUGUGCGCCACCCAAGCUCGAUGCCCUUCUUCUAACUCUCUGCAACACUCUACCAGCUCUGAGACUGUCUGACCAUCCACUGAAGGAACUCCUGAUACCAUGUUCUGCUGCGAACUAGCCAAGCCCAAGCUAUUCUCCGCUCCUCGUUCUGUUUGAAGCCAGGGAAUUGAUGCAGGAGGCACGGUGGAAGGAGAAAGAGUUAGAGUCACAGAAGGCGAGGAUGGUCUGUGGGAGCUAUUGGAGUUUGAAAGCCAUGGAGGAAGUAGUGGUGUAGCCAUGAGCAAUGGGGUGAUCCGGUGCUCUUUUACCAGCUUCUCUGCAAAGUUCUCGAGAAUGCGAUCGUAUUUUCCCUGCUCGAAGGAGCUCAAGACAGGUUUGCUGCUCUCUCUUUGCUCUCUCUGCUGCUUCUCCUUGAAGACUUCCCACCACUUGCCAAGCCUCUUGGCGGUGCGGCCCGGGACCUCCGCGGCGAUCUUCUUCCACUUGUUACCGUGCUUGGCCUGGAGCCUGAUCACAAGGCGCUGCUCCUCCUCAGUAAGAGAGCCCUUCUUGAUCCCUGGCUUAAGGUAGUUCUUCCACCUCUCCAAGCAGGAUUUGGCAUCCCUGUGAAGGGGCACGUUCAUCCGCUGGGACACAAGGUUCCACUCCCGGGGUCCAUACUGCUUCACGUAUGCGCGCAAGAUUGCGUCCUCUUCAGCUCUCCAGCGCUGCCUUUCCUUCAUUUGCAGUGGCCUCCGCCCAUCCCCUCGGAUUCCUCAUAACGUAUCUGAAACGAAGGCAGCCAGAGUAUCUUGACCUGAUAACAGCAGCUGCUGCAAGAAUCCUACUGGUUCAACAAAGAGUUUCAUAGCAAUAAAUUAUGAAAAUAAUUAACCAUGAAAUGCUACAAGAGGCUAGCGAAAAGAUUAAUGGGAGUUUAGGCCCAAUCAAUGAGGAAUAUUCUAUUGUUCUGAGGCACUAGCGAAGCAGGCGCUAGAAUUUGGCUGAAAAGGAUCGAACAGAGUUAUAUGAAUGCUUUGAACAUUCAACCAUUACCGAUAGACUCCAAAUCUACUGCACAUCCAUCAUUCAAAGAAAAAAUCUGAAGGACAGAUUUCAGACAAGCAGCGAACUCUGAUAACAAUGACAGAUAAACCACAGAAGCACAUGAUCAUUAAAUAAGCCAAGGUGGCCAGCAUCAUACAAACAGUAUUCAAGACUAAUCUAUUGAAAAUGAAACGUAUAUCAACAUCACAGAAUAGUGUUGAAUAGUUAUCUAGUGAACGAAAUCCUUAUGUAAGGCAUUAACAUGGCUUAUUUUCUGUUCAAAAAAAGGCAAACCGGCAAAGAUUGAGAUGGACAGAUACAUGCAUCUAGAAAAGGAAAGAUGACCUAAAACAAGUAGGAAAAGAAUCUAGAGCGGAGAUGGGCUGCUAGAUCGACUGUAAUCACCAAUACCUUCAUCUGGCGUGCUACGUGGUUGUGUUUAUUGACCGAAUAUGGAAACGGGGAUGUAUUAAAAUUUGCUUGGCAAGAAGCAGCGGCUGUACAAGGAAAUGAUUUUCAGAGGAAAUGGGUAAACAUCACCAAAGAGACAGACAGACAGACAUAUACAUGUAGGUAUGUAUAUGUAUAGGGUGGCGUGCGAGAGAGAGAGAGAGAGAGCUUUUGCGUAAAAAAUCGAGGCGGCAGCGCAAAACACUCAGAUGCUGUGGUAUUAAUCUUUACUUCUUUUUUUUCCCUUCGCAUUACCUAUUAUAUCAGUGAUCUAGAGCCAAGAUUUGCAAGAUUUUAUAUCAUCGUCAUCGGAUUAAGCUAAACUUAACAACACAGAGCAUCUCAUACGAAGAAUUAAAGUAAAUCCGGAUCUACAGGUCCACUAGGUCCAUCCUGCAACCAUUAGUUUCUCGAUUAAAUAACGAGCAUACCAGUUCUGAAAUAAAGCCAUAAGUGAUCGUCCGUGGACCACGUCAAAAAAAUAAAAAUGAAAAAAACACGGAUCUGCAGUAGAUCCAAGAGAUUCGGAAGCAAAUUUAGUUUGACAGGAAACAUUAUUAUUGUAAAGUAAAUUGUCGUGAUGGAAUGAGCCUUGAGAAGCUCAAAGGAGGUCUGAAACCAUACAAAAAUGUUACUUUUACGAAGACAUGAAACCAUUUCGGCCCAAGGCACUAUAUUUUUCCACUAUCCUGAGCUUAAUCUUUUCAAUCUCCUGAAAAGAUGUGAAUUGCUGCAGUUAAAUUAGUCCAGAUCGUACCCUAACUAAUAUUAUAUCAAAGUACUAAGUAAAAGACCAGAGAAACAGAGCAGCUCGACCUACUAUGUUCCCUUGCUUCCCCACAGUUAACUAAACAUAUGUAAACUUUAAUUUGCAAAGGUUCACAAAUAAGUGAUAGAUAACCACAACUUAAACUGAAAAAAAAAAAAGAGACAGAAAGGUAAAGAGAUCUCUUACAGCUCAAAAAAAUGCUAGCGCCGUCUUCUUUGAAAUCCAGAGACCCACAAGAAGCAAAGGCUCAAGAGUAACGAGGAGAGAUGAGAAGCUUAGAGAGAUGAUGAGAGGGAAUAGCAGAAACGAGAGAGAGAGGGGGGGGAGGAGAAUGGGAGUAGAUGAGAUGGUGGGAUGUAAAUAGCGAGGGCCCUGACAGGAGCGUAAAAGAAGGGCACGCGCAGGGAAAAGACGACGGGUCGCGGGGGCGAAAGGGGAGUGCAAGAUGGGGCUCAGUCACUUGGAAGAAAGAGAAGAGUUUUUGCGGUCGGUCGGUGGUGAUCUCAGAGGGGAAUGUGCUGGCGUCAUCCUCGGGAGCACGACGCCGCUGCAGAGAAACCGGCGGUUCCAGCGACGCACCGUGAGCCCCACCCCUUUGCCAUCGAGAACGAGGGAAAAAAAAAAAAGAAAGAGAGAGAGAGAGAAAGAAAGGAAAGAAUAAGGAAAGAAAGACAUGUUGCUGCCAAUUUUCUUAUCAUCUGAUCAUCAGGAAUGAAUAUUUAUAAAAUAAAAUUCGUAUUGGUUGAAAUUAUCUUCGAGCUCAGCGAAUAAAAAUUGGUUCAUUCAAAUUUAUUAUCUUAUUUUUUUUUUAUAAAAUAGAUCAUCGUAACUAUCGGAUAUGAUUUCACAUUUAAUAGUGUAGGAUCAUAGGACGGUAAUUUUGUAGUGCAUAAUUAACUUCUAUAAAUUAUGCUACGAUAUUAGUGAAGUAACCGUUUAUGACGGUUAUGAUAUAUUUGAAUGAAUCGAUCGGUCGUAUGUCGGAAGUCGAUUAUUGGUUAGUAAUAUUGAAAUAUCGAUGAUUAAAAUAAUUUAUUAUCUAUAAAAUUUGAAUAUUGAUUGAAAAUAAUAUCGAUCUGUUAAAUUGAUAAUUAAUUUUAGAAUUAUUUUUAUUUAAUGGAUCAUUUUUGUUUAAUAGAUCUGAGACAGAUGCCGGGCAAAUUACAUUGGAGAUUGGUUUAUAUACGGAGGUCAGUGGUUUUAUCUCAAAUAAAGCCUUUCGUUAGGUCUUUUCAUGAUACUCGACAGAGAGAAAGAUCGAGAGCUGGGAAAAGCUCACCAGCCACCAUUCCUUUGAUGACGUGUCCCAUUGCGGUCGCACAUAAGGUCCAUUAUUGCAACAAAUUUGAUGAUAUCGCGUUAUCACGUCGAGCUGAUUGCUGUCCGCGAGAAGACAGCUGAUGCUUCUACAUUGUUACCUAAAACGGAGCGGAUAGAGGAUAACGGUAAAGAUAUUUUGACAUCUUCACAUGGUAACUUUAACGGCCUUCCAACGCGGAGAGGGGGGACAAGGAAAGAGAGGUAAGGGUACCGGAGGGGCGAGGACCCCGGGAAUCGUGUUCGCGCACUACCGUGCUGGCAAUCAAUCGGGUUCGGGUUUCGUCCUUCGCGCGAAGGAAUGUUCUUUGCAAUAUCAACGACAGGGCGAUUGGCACAGCUCUCAAAGCACUCCAAAUUUUUCUAUCAUCCAUUUGCACAUAUCUUGAAAUAGUUGUUGUGCGAUCCAAUGGUUAAUCUAACGAAAGAAGGUGAAUCAUUCUGGUCUUUCGCGCGAAAGAUACAACCCGAACACCAAUUAAUCAGGAACCAGCACUUGUACGGGGGUUAACAUCUAACUUCCCCUCUUAAUUACCGUUGGGGUCGCUAAUUUCCAAGCCCAGAGAUGCUGAUUGGUCGGCGAGUCCGACGGAUAACCAGCGCAGCAAAAGCCGGUCAAAAAAGCAUAAAAAGCGGUCGGGUCACCGACCUCACUUGGAUCUUAACCUCAGCUCCCACGUACAGGAUCCAGCUCCUUUCUGGGAAACGGACUUUGAAUUACCGCGCUCGGGGGAAGGUAGCGAUCUCCGCCCCGGUACGGACGGGAUCUUCGUCUCUCUCAGCGAGAGCCAUCAUUAGAGAGAGAAAGGAAGGAAAGGGGACUGUAGUCCGCGUUUCGCGGCACAAGGAGACAAGGCGAUGUGGACUUGACCUCCCGGCCACUCCUCUCAAGGUGUCAGCGAGUGGUAACGUCGCUCUCUUUUUUUUCUCCUUUUUUCUUUUUACCCCUCUCGCUGGGGUAGAAGACUGCAAGUACGGCGACGGGUGCCCAUCUGUCCCCUGGUCCCCUCCCGGUCGCGGACGGCUUGCGAUGCUGUCCGAUGACGCGUUCUAUCCUGAUGGGUCUCCAUGAGACCCUGGGCCCUGCCCACUGUUUCACAUGUCAUGGUCUGUGGGCCCCGCGAGUAGAAUCUGGCCGGUUAUAUUGCCCGAUGAGGGAGGGGAAGCCUGAGCAGCGUCCCGGCGUCGCCUUAUCUCGUUGUAUCAUGUCAUCGUAAAAUGCUGCGAAGAAGUCACGUUACUGGGAGGUGGGGAAGGUGUCUGGUUUGAGGUGUUAACUGGUGGUGGCGCGAGCUAUGUAUGGUAGCGUCACGUGAAAACCAUUCGGGCUUCGGAUUGCAGGGUCGUCUCUCUCUCUCUCUCUCUCUCUCUCUGAGGGCAGGUGGAACGAGACAGGUCAGGUUAUGGUCCAUGCUGUGGCUAAAUAUACAGACGUGGGUGGACGGGUCCAGUCUUGUCUGAUUGGGUCGAUCUCAUGGAUAACGCUCUAGAUUCGUAGGCCGGUUUGAAGAUUUUAAAUCGGUAGGUUCUAAUUUGUUCUGACCGACCGUGUCCUCCACAAACGAAUGGUCCCGGGCCGGAUCUUAUUUGAUUGGAGCCAGAACUUCUGAAGCCAUGGUGAAAAUAUUAUGCCCGAUUGAUUCACAUGAUGUUGUUUCUUUCGUUUUCGUUUUCUUUUCCCUGUUGUACAGCUACUUUUUUUGAUUUCUUUGUUUCAUCUUCGAUAAUCAAAUCUAUCUAGAGAAGUUUCAUUUGUUAAAAUUAUCUAGGUUAAAUUUUGAGAAAAUAAGAUCAUUGUGAUUCUAACUGGAACAAAGAUACACCAGUUGGGCUAUAACCCAACUGGUUAUAGCCUAGUCGUUUGACAAUUUCUUGUACCAUUUUACGCACUAAAACCUUUUUUUUUUUUGGGUGGUGAGGUUUGAAGAAAUUAGUAUGUGGACCGGUCCAAAUCUUUGGGCAUGGUACCGUUAGAUGGUCCCCUCACCACAUAGCCAGUUCCAUCCUACGAAAGGGGUUUUAAACUUGUUAUCAUCGCUGCCUGUUUCAGCGUUUCAUAAUUAUAUGGUUAUUUAUCUAGACAUUUAGUCAUCUAUUAAUACGUACGACGAUAAACCCGCGCCCAAAAAGCUCAGACGGUGGCAGUGAUGUACAACUUAUUCGUUGUUCUUGCCCAAACCUCAGAUUGCUUGGUAAACGUACAUGUUUGCGAUUCAAUGGACCAUCAGCGAGGUUUACAUAGAACACCUUUAAAUACUACUUUUUGAAAUGAUUGUGUUUCUUUCAUCUAGUGAUUCCUUGAUUCUAAUGCAUGUAAUUUGUCGGGAUAUGGACAUGACAACCAACUUUCAAAUGUAAAUUUAUAAUAAUUUUUUUAAAAAAAAUACAUUGCGUGGGAGUCCCACCAAAAGUGCCAUAUUUUUAUAUUUUUUUAGCCAAAAAUUAUUAGUAAGGCCCAUCGACGUAGUUUAUUAAAUAAUAAUGCAUUGAGCGAUAAUGUACAUGCUAGUGCAGCUCAAAAUAUAUGCAUGUUUGGUCAUGGAUUCUCAUUUCACCCAUUGUAAAUCUUCAGGUUUGUUGAUCUGUGACUGAUUUAUUAGUCGUACCUCUAAUGCUUCUAGAUUGCUAAUUCUUAAGCUGUAUGGACUAAGAUUGCACUACCAUAGGAUGCAUGUUAAUACCUCUUGCUUGCAAAAAAAAAAAGACAGCCCUCUUCCUGCUUGGUUUAUGAGGAUAUUUGUUUUUCUCUUUUCUUUUUCCCUUUUUAUUGUUGUGAGGAUGAGAGAAUCAUAAAAAUUCAAAGGGCCUAUCUAGAUGAGUGGACCCAAAAUCUCAUAGAAAUCAUAUGUUUGGCCUAAUACAACAGGUCUUAUUUCUCUUACAGGACUCAGGCAGAGCUAGAUCUCUUUCAUGUGACUGUAUGGAUCCAAAUCCAUGUGAUUUCUUUAGGAUACUGGUCCAGACAUCGAAACAGAUCUUAAAAAUGAAAGAUUCCUCGUCUUAAAAUGAGCUCUACUUAGUGUUGUCAUAAUGAGCAAUGCUGCGAAGUUGCCAAGGUAGAAUGUUUCCAGCUAAAGGCAAGAUAUUAUUCACAUAAUAUUUUUACAGUAAAUAAAAUCAUCUCUCGGUUGUUAUCUAUAAUAAUAUUGAGAAAAAUAUUCAGUACACGCGACAGAAUUCCGUGCAUAUUGAUGUAUAUGCAUCCAGGUAGGACUUAGGAGAGUUGGCGGUCAUGUAAAGUAAAAUGCUCUACCUCGAUCCUAACAAGAUUUAUUUGCAAAAUAUUAUACAUUGCCUAUUUUCUGCUAUUAUCCUUGCAGGUCAUUGGUAAAUGGACCAUAGCUAGAGAAGUCUGUGGUAUUGCUACCAUUCAGAGGGAGAGAGACUUUAAGAUUGCAACAUGGUGGUCAAGAAUUUGGUAGCUGGAAAUAGAGGACUUGGAGGGUUGGAGUUUGUAGAAAGAAUAUCUCAAAAAAAAAAAAAAAAGUUUUUUACACUAAUAUAUUAAGAUCUUCUUCAAGAAAGUAUGCUACAAUCAUGAAUCCCUUUUAUCUAAUAUUGUAAACAUCUCUAACGGGUGCAUUUUUUUUUCUAUUUAGAGUUCAUCACUGAUGAUGGACAAAAAAUAUAGAAAGAGUAGGCUAUAUUUCUUCACCAAUAUAUUAAGAUCUUUUUCGAGAACAUUUGUUACAGUCAUAAAUCCCAUUCUAUCCAGUACUGCAAACCUCUCUAACUAGGACUAUUCCUUCUUAUGCUAUUUGGAGUUCAUCACCGAUGAUGAACAAAAGAUAAUGGCAAGAGUAGUCUAUGUAUAAGGUUGCAUUAAGGAAUCCUAUUAUGUCAAGAUAGAGCUUUUAAUUCAUGUUUCUUUGAGAUGAUUUCUCAUCACUAGGACCAAUCCACAAUGACUUGUAUUCAGUCAAUUAUGCCAUUCGAGUGAAAUAGGUAUGCAAAAAUGCAGUUAAUUGGUUCUUAGAAAAGGAAUUUUUCAAUCAUAAUUCUUGAUAUUGGGCGAGUAGUUUAUCACAAUAGUUGGAGAGAACUGCAACUCCGAUGUUAGUUUUGUCUUGUUUGAUAGAGUUAUCAGCAAUGUAUUGACGUAGGCCUUGGCUUUAUUAGAGGAAGGGAGAGAAAAAAAAAUAAAAAUAGAAAAAGAAAUAAAAAACACAGGCUCAAGAGCCAUGCAAAAAAAAAAAAAAAAAAGGCCAAACAGGAUUUAUAAGCCAACUAAAAAAAAAAAAAAAGCCCAAACAGGAUCUAUAAGCCAACUCAAAGUUGGCCGCCAAAGAGCAACAUUAGUAGGCCUAACUCUAGCAUUACACGCAAAACACUGGACCAGUCUUGGGUGGAUCCCGGCCCGCUUGCCCUGGCCUUGGUCCGAAAAGGCGUUCGCCGUGCUCGAGAAACAGCUAGCCGAACCCGCUUCCACUGCGCCCACGAUGUCUUCGCGCCCAUGGGUUCGCGAUCCACCGUAUGUAAUCCGUAUCACCCGAAAAAAAUCGAACGGCGGAGAUCAGAUCUCGGUUCCCAAUCUAAUCCCCUCCCCCAUACCUUCCAAUCCACUCGUCCUCGUAUCUAGCUCCUCCCCCCCUCCGUCCCACGCACAACCCAAAAUCCCACCAUCCAGUCUCCGAGUUACGAAGAAAUAUGGGCAGGAAAUUUUUCAUUGGCGGCAACUGGAAAUGCGUAAGAUUUUCUUUUUUACCAUUAAAUUUCUCUUUUCUUCACUCUCAGAUCUGUUUUUAGAAUUUUAUUCUUGCUGCAAUUUUUUUCAAGUUCGAUUCUUAGAAUUCAUCUGGUUCCAGCACUACUUUUCGCCGGAUCUGCUCGACUUUAGGGUUCCGGGCAUCCGAUUUUAGGGUUUGGAUGUUUGAAAUCGGAUGGCAACAUCCGAUCAACAGAAGCAGUUUUCUUGAACUGUUCCAUUUUACUUGGAUUUGCAUUUUUUCCACGAAUUUUUGAUGUCUGCGAAAUUUAUUCUCUAAUUAUUUGACGGAGUUAUAGAACAUACUUAUAGUUGAUCUUCGUGCAGUUUUUUUUUCCCUAUUUACUUUUUGUGUGUGUGUGUGUGUGUGUUUAGCUGAAAUUAUUGCUUUUAUUCGAGGUACAUGGGGAUAUUUAUAGUUUAAAUAAUUCGAUUCAUCUUAAAAUGCGGUUAUAAUGGGAACUCCGUGCAGAAUGGAACAACCGAAGAAGUUAAGAAGAUUGUCACUACCUUGAAUGAGGCUGAAGUACCCCCAGAGGAUGUCGUCGGUAUGGAUAUGAUCCUUAUGGACUUUGUCUGUAUGUUUUAUUUGAUUUCAUAAUCAUAUUAUUGACGGGAAAUUUUGCGCCUAAUUUCAGAUGUAAAAUAUACGUAAAAAGCGUUCAUUUUGUCGGUUGAGUAUGAGAUAGCAUAAAAUUCAUUAUUAGGUGGAUUUUAUGUGAAUUUUUCUUGGUUAUAACAAUCUCAUGGGCAUCUGGAAGUUAGUAUCGUGACUCCAUUUUAGUGCUGUUGGCCUGUACAAAUUGUUUGCAAUGUCAUGCCACUUGAUUCCCACGAUCCAUUUCCACCAGGCAAGAUGGACAUUUAUCAUUCAUUUGCUAUCUUUUCUUCUCAAACAAUGCUUCAGUUUCUUGAAAAGAAAAGCUGUUCUCUGGCACCUGGAAUCAUAAUGUAUGAAGUUCUAUUGUCUGUAACUUUAUGCGAAAUGCUAUUGUUACAUCUUGGUUGGCUGUGACUUUGUUGAUUGAAAAUAAGACCAGGCAGCAUUCACUCUUAAGGUUAUUGUUGCAGCAGAUUCCCGGCUUGGGCCAAAGUUGCUGUAGUGUGGCGGUGUCCAGCGAAGAUGGUGGUGAUCGGACCUGCAAAACAACUCCCGAGCCAGGGGUGGUUCUGGCAGAGACUCUCCGAUGCUCAAGCCAAAAAUCUGGAACAAAUGGAAAGGAGCAUGCAAGAGAGUUACAUAUCUUGGGGGUCAAUUGGUUGCCUUUAUUUAUAGAGGUGGAAACUAUAAGAGGAAAAAAAUGUGGGAGACCUUUCUGCCUCCAUCGAGCAUACCCUUGAAAUCCUCACUCUAAUUUCCAUGAAUUUGGGGGGCAGCAUUACCUCACCGACAAGUGGCUGGCCACUUCCAUUAAUGGCUCCAGUAGGAGCUCUUGGGAUCUGACAGUUGAUGUGAUCUUAUCCCACAUGCGGCCAGCCACUUGCCUUAAUGGCUAUGAUUUGAGUACUUGAGAUUCGAAGAUUGGACAUGAUCUUUUCUUGUGCGUGGCUAGCUGCUUUCCUUAAUGACUUGAUUUGAAAAGGUCGUAUUGGAGCUCUCUGCCGACCUUGUUGAAUAUGGUAACCAAAGUUGGGAUUGGAGGAAGUGUGGCAUGAAGACCCACCAUACGUACUAUCGAGGAUGAGAAUCGGUGGUAGGUGCCUAGGUCGGAGCCAAUGUGGGGUUGGUGUGUUCCCUGAAUCGGCGUCCAAUGUUCGGAUGUUGUUUUGAGAAUGGGAGCAACAAUCACUGUGGAUCGAUAGUCUAAUGUGUCUAAAGAGGGGUCGGUCACCGAUGUCGGGGUCGGUAGUCCAAGUAUGGAUCGGUGGCCUUUGAACACAAAUGCCAGGGUGGCCGACCUAUGUGUUGGCCACCAACCCCUACAUCAGCCACCGAUCUGUGCAUAGGUUUCUGACUUCUUGCUGGUGUCUGCAUUCAAAGGCCACCAAUCCAUACUUAGGCUGCCGACCCCGGCAUUGGUGGCCAAUCCCUCUUUAGACACCUCAGACUGUUGAUCCACAUGGUGACUGCUGCUCACAUUCUCAAAACAACAUCCGGACAUCGGACGUCGAUUCGGGGAAGGUGCCGACCCCCACAUCGGCUCCAAGCUAGGCACCUACGAUCGGUUCUCAUCCUCGACAGUAGGGCCGAGCAUGGGUCGAGUUCGAUCAGGUUGAGAGAAAAAUUUCAUCCGAUCGAAUGCAAUCAGGUUGAAGAAAAUUCAAUCCGCUAUCAAUCAUUUACCAUGUAUUAACUGUUUGAAAUCGAAGUGAAUAGUUUGUAGCGGGUUCAGAUGGGUUGUGUGGGUUUGGGCUUCAAUGUUGACCCAAUAUUGAUUUUGAGUCCAAAAUUGACACUUAAGCUUAUUUGUUUUUUUUUUUUGUCAAUUUAAUGUAAAAAUGGCCUAAACUUUAUAAGUUACAAAUUUUAGGCUUAUUUUUGAAUCUGUACAGAAUAAAACAGAAAAAGAAAAGAUUUACUCAUCUAAAAGCAACUACAUCUGAAAGCUUUCACUUCAGAAUUAUUUUAAAUUGAUGUGCUUCCAUCAACAAUUCAAUAUUAAUAUUCCCAUGAAUCUAAAUGGGUGAUGAGGUGUUUUUUAGAAUGAAGUAUUAAAGUCUAAAUGACUUCGUCCCAAAAUGAAAAUGAGUUUGUGAAAUACAACAUCGGUCAGGUUCGGUUUCAUACAGCUUAAAAGUGUAGGAACCGAAUCCGAUCGUAUAAUCGAUUUUUUACAAACUCUAAUCCGAUUCCAUCCGAUUUAUGCCUUUCAACUAACCGAAAUCGAUGUUUAUUGGGUCGGAUUGGGUGGGUUUCUUUGGGUUUCAGUUAUUUGCUCAGCCCUACUCGAUAGUAUGUAUGGCGGGUCUUCAUGCCACACUUCCUCCACUCCCAACUUCGGUUACCGUACUUAACAAGGUCAACAGAGAGCUCCCAUACGGCCCUUUCAAAUCAAACUAUUAAGGAAAGCGGCUAGCCACACGCAGAAAAAUAUCAUGUCCAAUCUCCAAAUCCCAUAGUUUUUAAAGAAAACAGCUGGCUGGACAUGGGAUAAGGUCAUAUCGACUGUCAAAUCCCAGGGGCUUUGGCUGGGGCUAUUAAUGGAAGCAGUCGGCCACGUAUUGGGUGAGGUGAUGCCGCCCCUCAAAUUCAUGGAAAUUAGAGCGAGGAUUUCGAGGGUAUGCUCGACGGAAGAAGAAAGGUCUCCAACAGUUUUUCCUUUUAUGGUUCCCACCUCUAUAAAUAGAGGCAAUCAAGGGACCCCCAAGGUAUGUAACUCUCUCGCGUGCUCCUUCCCAUCUGUUUUAGAUUUCUGACUUGAGCGUCGGAGAGUCCCUACAAGAACCACCUCCAGUUCGAGAUUUGUUUUGCAAGUCCAGUCACCGCCAUCUUCGCCGGAUGCCACCACACUCUAGCAACUCCGGCCCAAGCUGGGAAUCUGCCACAACAGUUAUCUUAUUAUAUCUUUAGAUGGAAAUUUUGACCAGUUUAAGGGUAAAUAAUGGGCUACUAUUACACCAUUCGGCCUCUUUAUAUUCUUAUGCAACCAAAAACUAUGUAUUGCAAGAUAUUUUUAGGGAAGCUAAUAUAGGAAGAAAGAGAUUAAGAAGAAAACUUUAUAAGUUUAGGGAACUGACAUCACAUGCAAAGAUUGAUAAAGUUUUCUGUUAGCAGCUUAUAUAUUAUUUGAUUUGAAAUUCCUUCAGACAUGCAUGUGCAUGAAUUGGUGACUAUGCAUGCCGGGCUGCAAAGCAGAAAGUAAAUUGCUACCACAACUAGAAAAGAGGUGGCUGGUGCAUUUGGAUCUUUUAGGGUCUGUUGAGAACUAUCCUGCAGAAUCUAGCAGGAUCGCAUGGGAAUCGAGUUAGGAGUGUUGGGAGGGAGGGAGGGAGCGGGGGAGUAGGAGAGGGAGAGUGUGGGGAGACACACCCUGCUUGCAGCGGGAUUACCAAAAAAAAAAAAAGCCCUUCCUCCCUUUAAGCUCCCUCUUCCUCCAUAUUGUGAUCCAAUCAUGGCCUAUCCCACCGGAUUUAGCCCAGUAGGCACUUACUAAUUUCCCAGGCAUUUUGAAAAUAUUUAAGUUCAGAUUGUUAUGUGGUUGCUUCAUGAUGAUAUUUUAAGGAAAUCUAGGCCAGUCACUCUAGAAGAUGGUUCAAAAUUGCUCAGCCAUUUUCCAUGUUCCUCCAUAGUCACCUAUAUUGGAUUUCAUGUUCUCUGAAAUUCAGAAGCUGUUGUUAAGAGAUGCAUUGGCUUGAUCAUCAUGUUUGAACUAUUAAUGCUGGGAAUGCAAAUGGUGUGUCGGUCUGUCCUACAAGAGGGUCAUGCAUAUCUUAGUUACUUCAUCUGAAAUCUUGCCUACCUGGUCGAAGCUGAUGAAAUGUCAUCCAGCUUUAUCACUCAAACAACUUCUCACUUAUUAUCUGCAAAAAAGCACACAGAGAAAUCAUAAUUGAGGGCAGUUAUAAGUGAUUAAGCAG